rnacentral:sRNA from 1 species
AUUUUCCAAUCUGCAAUGUAAGAAGAAGAACAAGAAGGCUUUUUAUGUU